GAUGAACGCUGGCGGCGUGCCUAAUACAUGCAAGUCGAGCGAACGGACGAGAAGCUUGCUUCUCUGAUGUUAGCGGCGGACGGGUGAGUAACACGUGGAUAACCUACCUAUAAGACUGGGAUAACUUCGGGAAACCGUAGCUAAUACCGGAUAAUAUUUUGAACCGCAUGGUUCAAAAGUGAAAGGCGGUCUUGCUGUCACUUAUAGAUGGAUCCGCGCUGCAUUAGCUAGUUGGUAAGGUAACGGCUUACCAAGGCAACGAUGCAUAGCCGACCUGAGAGGGUGAUCGGCCACACUGGAACUGAGACGCGGUCCAGACUCCUACGGGAGGCAGCAGUAGGGAAUCUUCCGCAAUGGGCGAAAGCCUGACGGAGCAACGCCGCGUGAGUGAUGAAGGUCUUCGGAUCGUAAAACUCUGUUAUUAGGGAAGAACAUAUGUGUAAGUAACUGUGCACAUCUUGACGGUACCUAAUCAGAAAGCCACGGCUAACUACGUG
rnacentral:rRNA from 1 species